AGCAGCCGCGGUAAUUCCAGCUCCAAUAGCGUAUAUUAAAGUUGUUGCAGUUAAAAAGCUCGUAGUUGAAUUUCGGAAUCUGUGCGUCGGUCGGGCUUAACUGUCCGUACUGGUGUGAUGGGUUCUUACCUUCUGAAUAACCAGCAUGCCAUUUAUUUGGUGCGUUGGGGAAGCAGGACUAUUACCUUGAAAAAAUUAGAGUGCUCAAAGCAGGCUAGCGCCUGAAUAUAUUAGCAUGGAAUAAUAAAAUAGGACGGCAUGGUUCUAUUUUGUUGGUUUCUAGGAUCACCGUAAUGAUUAAUAGGGAUAGUUGGGGGCGAUUAGUAUUCAAUUGUCAGAGGUGAAAUUCUUGGAUUUAUUGAAGACUAACUUCUGCGAAAGCAUUUGCCAAGGAUGUUUUCAUUAAUCAAGAACGAAAGUUAGGGGAUCGAAGACGAUCAGAUACCGUACGUAGUCUUAACCAUAAACUAUGCCGACUAGGGAUCGGACGAUGUUAAUUUUUAAUUGUACUCGUUCGGUC
rnacentral:rRNA from 1 species